UGACUGUUGGAAGAAUUCGUCAAUUCAGACUGGCGCAAAGAGCUAUCAGGGCGCGAUGCCAGGAAUUUCAUUGCGAGACAGAAUUCGAAAUGAGGAUAUUCGCCAACGCAAUAAAGUUACCGACAUUGCAAAAAGGAUUAACUCAAGUGGGAAUGGACCGGCUAUAUUUUUCGCAGAGAUGACGAUCAAUGGGGUCGCCUAGUAUUGCUGUGGAGACCUAGCCUGGGUGGCCGAGGUGGCGGGAAACCACGAGCAGAUGGUCGGAUGACACAUAUAGAACGGAGUGGAAACCCACGGAAUGCAGACCAGGAUCAUAUACUUUAGGUAUGAGUUUGUUACUUUUGCUCAUAAUAACAUGGAGUAUGUCACAGCUGCUCCACGGGCUGCAUUGAAGGGCAACAGGAGCGAAAAUGGAAAGGAGCUCCCCUUUCAAUUAGAGAAUCUUAGGAUAUGCUAAGGCAAACAGAAGGAGGCAAGGAACAGGACUGCAUCAAUUGCUGUUUGGAACCAAUCUUGUGGGAUGACUUCUGGACAGGGAAAAAACAAUUUCAUCAUCUACCCUAAUACUGACGAAUGUUCUAAAACGUGCUGUAAGGCAGACAUUUCCAAAUGUAACGGAGGAAAGUUUCGAGACAUGUAAUGGUUUCAACACGCUGCUGAGACCCAACUCAAGAGACGUCAGUUUGUACUGUUUUGUCCAUUCUCUAUUGGGCAUGCUUGUAUGGAGAGGUAUAUAUAUUGGAGUACAGACAUGGUGUUUGGUAUGAGUAUUAUAUACAUCCUCUUGAGUCAAAGAGGACCGGUAGCCACUUUGAACUCCGUGUCCGAAAGGGUCAAAGUAUGGAGCUCCCGGUACUCAGAAAAAAAAUUCUGGUCUAUUAGUUUUGAACUUUCGAGUCAAGUUUGGUGUCAUUUUUAUGUAAACUGUUCGCUUCAUUUUUAAAUUGAAGAAGAUUAAAAAUCACAGUAAUAUUAUUAAGGCAAAAGUUUGUGAGCAUACUGUGUUUGUUACUUCCUCACGCCACGCCCAAGUGCCUUAACAAAUAUUAUUUAUAAAAUUAAGUAUGGAGGAAGUAAGAUAUACCCUAAGUUAACACGUCGCUUCUUCUUGAUCGUGGGUAACACUCGGGGCGCAGUAUAAUGAUUAUUAAAAAUCUUUAUGCUGUCCCCUAUGCUGCGAUGGCGAUCGUUGCAGUACUUUCAAUA